AGGACCUUUAAGAACUCCCGUUCGAUAUGAACACAAAUUUCAGACUCCUUGUGAUUUAAUGCGAGUAAUGCCCUUCUGCAAUAAUCGUCUCCUUCUUUAGCCACCACCAGCAUAGCACCUUGUGCGGGGGCAGGUACCAUCCAGUCCAAAUCUAUAAAAUUUCCGGGUUUAAGGUCAAUUCUUUCCAGGCCGGCAGCGGCAAAGAUCGCUCCGUUCCAAUCACUGGCUUCCAGCUUUUUCAU
rnacentral:misc_RNA from 1 species